rnacentral:rRNA from 1 species
AGCGAACGCUGGCGGCGUGCCGUAAUACAUGCAAGUCGAACGAGAAAGUGGCUUCGGCCAUGAGUAAAGUGGCAGACGGGUGAGUAAUACUUAGGUAACCUACCCUUAAGAUGGGGACAACCUUCCGAAAGGAGGGCUAAUACCGAAUGAGACCACGGUGUCUGCGGACACGAGGGGUUAAAGAUGGCCCUCUAUUUAUAAGCGUAUCACUUAAGGAUGGGCCUAAGCACCAUUAGCUAGUUGAGGUAAUGGCUUACCAAGGCUAUGAUGGUUANCUGA